AACGUCGAUAUAAAACUCAAUAGAGGUGGACUAAAUCUCGGUUACGUUAAAUCCAAAACAACCAACAUCAAGUACGUUACGUCAUGUAAGGAAAAUAAAGCGGGACCGUCGGCAAAGACCGCAAAGGAAGAAAAACCGAAGUCAACGGAAAAUAAAAAGAAGAGUAAAUAAAAUGGGAUGUUUACUCGCAAAACCUGAGAUCACAAAUGAAGUGAAGUACGACAAAAACCACCGAAAAAGGAAAAUGUUCAGUGUUCGGAAUCGG